rnacentral:rRNA from 1 species
AGCGAACGUUAGCGGCGGGCUUAACACAUGCAAGUCGAGCGAGAAAGGGGCUUCGGCCCUGAGUACAGCGGCGGACGGGUGAAUAACACGUAGGUAACCUUCCUUCCAGCGGGGGACAACGGUCCGAAAGGACCGCUAAUACCGCAUACGUUCCCUGGGACCCUGGUCCCGGGGAGGAAAGCUCCGCAAGGGGCACUGGAUGAGGGGCCUGCGUAGCAUCAGCUAGUUGGUGGGGUAAUGGCCUACCAAGGCUAAGACGCUUAGCUGGUCUGAGAGGAUGAUCAGCCACACUGGGACUGAGACACGGCCCAGACUCCUACGGGAGGCAGCAGUGGGGAAUAUUGGACAAUGGGCGCAAGCCUGAUCCAGCCACGCCGCGUGAGUGAC